GACGUAGGUGGCGAACGUUAUCCGGAAUCAUUGGGCGUAAAGGGUGCAUAGAUGGCAUGAUAAGUUAUUAGUGGGAAAUCGAGGCUCAACCUCGUGGAAGCUAGUAAUACUGUUUUGCUUGAGUACAGAAGAGGUUAACGGAACUCCAUGUGGAGCGGUAAAAUGCGUAGAUAUAUGGAAGAACACCAAUAACGGCGAAGGCAGUUAACUAUUCUGUUACUGACAUUGAGGCACGAAAGCGUGGGGAGCAAAACGG
rnacentral:rRNA from 1 species